rnacentral:rRNA from 1 species
GACGGAGGAGGCAAGCGUUAUCCGGAAUUAUUGGGCGUAAAGCGUCCGCAGGUGGCACUUCAAGUCUGCCGUCAAAGACCGGGGCUUAACCCCAGAAAGGCGGUGGAAACUGAAGCGCUAGAGUGCGGUAGGGGUAGAGGGAAUUCCCGGUGUAGCGGUGAAAUGCGUAGAGAUCGGGAAGAACAUCGGUGGCGAAAGCGCUCUACUGGACCGCAACUGACACUGAGGGACGAAAGCUAGGGGAGCGAAUGGG